rnacentral:rRNA from 1 species
UAGGCCGGGUGUGUAAGCGCAGCGAUGCGUUGAGCUAACCGGUACUAAUGAACCGUGAGGCUUAACCUUACAACGCCAAAG